AAGGAGUUAGGAUGAUAAGUAGGCAAAUACGCUUAUCGGGAAGGCUGAGCAGGGAGGGGGAAGCACCUUAUGGAGCGAAGUCUUUGAUUCCCAGAUGCCAAGAAAAGCUUCUAGAGAGAAAAAAGGUGAAGGUACCGCAAAACGAAAAAGGUAGGAGAGGAGAGAAUCCUAAGGUGUGCGAGAGAAAAAUGGUUAAGGAACUCGGAAAAAUGACCCCGUAACUUAGGGAGAAGGGGUGCUUUCUUA
rnacentral:rRNA from 1 species